rnacentral:tRNA from 1 species
ACUUGGCUGGCUCAGUCAGUAGAGCAUGUGACUCUUGAUCUUGGGGUUGUGAGUUCAGGUCCCAUGUUGGGUA